UACGGAUGGUGCAAGCAUUAAUCGGAAUUAUUGGGCGUAAAGGGCGCGUAGGCGGAAGAGUAUGUCAAAUGUGAAAUCCCAAGGCUCAACCUUGGACCUGCAUUUGAAACUGCUUUUCUGGAGGGUAGGCGGAGAAAACGGAAUUCCACGUGUAGCGGUGAAAUGCGUAGAUAUGUGGAAGAACACCAGUGGCGAAGGCGGUUUUCUAGCUUACUCCUGACGCUGAGGCGCGAAAGCAAGGGGAGCAAACAGG
rnacentral:rRNA from 1 species